CACUAAACCAAUUUCAUUUUUGAAGUAAAAAGUAGUAUGAAUAACAACAGUCAUAAAAAGCAUAACUUUUCUUUGGUUUGAAAUGUCCUUCUUGGGGGAUUCCCUGUUUUUUCCACAUAAAAACACCCGAAAAUCCGGAUAUUGGACUUUCAUCCUUUUUUAGGGUUAAAUUAACUAUUGAUCACACAUAUCAUACUAUAUGUAAAUCGAGAUAUUGAUCAAAAAGCAUUUUUAUUUUUGGUUUUUAUAGGAAAUUUUACUCUGUUGGCACUUUUUGAAAUUGGCCCUUCUGUGAAAAAAAUC
rnacentral:lncRNA from 1 species